GUGACUGCGGAAGGAUCAUUAACGAGUUUUGAAACGGGUUGUUGCUGGCCUUCCGAGGCAUGUGCACGCCCUGCUCAUCCACUCUACACCUGUGCACUUACUGUAGGUUGGCGUGGGUUUCUAGCCUCCGGGUUGGAAGCAUUCUGCCGGCCUAUGUACACUACAAACUCUUAAAGUAUCAGAAUGUAAACGCGUCUAACGCAUCUUAAUACAACUUUCAGCAACGGAUCUCUUGGCUCUCGCAUCGAUGAAGAACGCAGCGAAAUGCGAUAAGUAAUGUGAAUUGCAGAAUUCAGUGAAUCAUCGAAUCUUUGAACGCACCUUGCGCUCCUUGGUAUUCCGAGGAGCAUGCCUGUUUGAGUGUCAUGAAAUUCUCAACCCAUAAAUCCUUGUGAUCUAUGGGCUUGGAUUUGGAGGCUUGCUGGCCCUAGCGGUCGGCUCCUCUUGAAUGCAUUAGCUUGAUUCCGUGCGGAUCGGCUCUCAGUGUGAUAAUUGUCUACGCUGUGACCGUGAAGCGUUUUGGCAAGCUUCUAACCGUCCAUUAGGACAAUUUUAUAACAUCUGACCUCAAAUCAGGUAGGACUACCCGCUGAACUUAAGCAUAUCAAUA
rnacentral:rRNA from 1 species